CGCAGCCCUGCUCCGCGUUUCUUUUGUCUCGGUGCGAGGCCGCCGCGCACCCCCGCCCCGCCCCGCCAAACUUUCGGCGAGGACCUCGGCGCCCCGACGGCCGCCUGCGGGCCGGGGCAGGGCAAGGGUACUGGGGCAGCCGCGGUUUCCGCCUGGGGCCGCGCCGUGGCUGCCGGCAGCGCCCGCGGCGGGUGUCCCCGUGGGGACGGCCGGAGGGCAGGUGAAGGGCCGCGGGGCUGCGGGCGGCCCCCACCUUCCCUUCUUGUUUCUUCGGAACGGAUGCUGUCGGCCUCGUCUUCGCGCUGUACGCAACAGGUCAAAACAUGGUCGUCAGGGAAAAUGGGAUGGUUGCCAAAACAUCAGUGUGUGAUAGGUGCCAUAUUGCAUUAUUCUCCGAGUGUUGGAAUACAGCUUGGGAUUCUUCAGGGGUGGCUAACACAGUACAAACUGUACCAUACAGCUGCUGAAUGUCUUAAACAUUUGGAUUCAUACAUAACUUCUGGAAGAAGUGGAGGAGCCUCUUGCCGAAAUUUGUGGAUAUUGUGUAAAAUGCUGCUGAGACACAUUUGGAUUAUAUUGUCACCUGACAUCAAGGUUCUGCAGCUAAUGAAAGGAAUUCACCAGAUCUUUUUGUUACGUGGUUGCUGAAGCAUUAAUCCUGGGACAGAAGUAAUGAUUGAUGAACACCCUUCAGGCUUGAGUCACAGAGUAACGUGGGGAUUUACACUUUUGAAGUAGGAAUGUGAAUGCAAUUGAAGGAUUUAUAUGGAGGAUUCUGUUCCUUCCUGCUCCAGGAAAGACAGGUUCCUGAAGAAAGAGAGAAUUCAUAGGUGAUACAUGACCCUAGAAAAGUUCUGAUUUCUAGGGUGAAGAAGAGUUUUCUUACACACAGAUAACCUGUUAAACUGGGCACGAAGCUAUACCAUUCAGAAGAAGUGAGAUUGUCUUUCCCUACAGCUACGAGACUGCACUGAUCUCGACACAACCUGCUUUUCCGUCCAUUUACCUGGGCGGCUGCUGCCGUUUCUGCUGCUGCUGGGGCUGCCACAGUCUCACUGCCUGCGCUUCACCCCGGCUUGGCUGGCUCAAAACUCACUCGUCUGCACAUUGCUACAAAGAGCGAUGGAGCUGCGUUUUUUCUGUUGGUUCUGGAAGCAAAGAGUUGCAAUAUGUGAUGACUUUGGGAUUUUCUUUGGGGGGGAUGUGGAGGGAGGAGAAAGGAGGGGUGUUAUUCUAGGUUGGGGUGGGUGAAAGCUUAAAGAAAUAUUAUGUAAAGUAAUCCAGUGCUCGACAAGGGCAUCAGCAGCAAGAAUCCAGCCUCUGCUGCUCCAGAGGAUUAACAUGGGGAAGCCACAGUGCUGCAGUCGGGUUUCACCUCAGCGUUGUGCUGGAGAUGGAUAAAUAAGGUAUUGGUUGUGUCUGCCUGUUAAGGCAAAGCCAUGGGAGAAGGAGAGAGCGAGCGAAUGCAAAUGCAAAGGAAGAAGAAAUGCUACAUGCCGUUUGUCUGAUUCCAGGCAUUCCUAUUGCAGAGAGGAUGGCUCGAUUAACAAAGCAAUGUAUGGAUGGCGGGGACUGUAAAUUGUAGCUUGAACACUCCUGAUGCUGUCAGUGAAGGAACUGAUGAGCUAGGUGGUUGCAGCGAUAUCCCCAGGGGAAACAGCAGCCAUGCACUCUGUGUGUAUAUAUAUAUGUAUGUAAGUGCUUUUGUGUGUGUGUGAGCAUGUACAGACAUGAAAGAAAGACAUUUCUGACCAAUUUACAGAGGAAGUUUGUCACUUCACUAGGUCAGACUUGAUUGCAGCUUGCAUUUUCAGCUAUAGCUCUACACCCAUUUCCUGACUGAGGCGGCACUUUGUGAAAACAGAUGGUAGGCAGAAUUCUUUUAAGAAACGUGAAAGCAGAUCCUUUCCGCUUAACACCUUGAAGCACUGAGUCUUCUGCACUGUGCUGUGAGAAACUGUGGGGUUUCAUUUCCCCAUCUUAAAAUCUUUAUAAACACAGCUGUAUUCAGUAUGGUGAAAAAUUCUAUCCUGUAAAUAGAAAUGUGAUCAAUCUAAUCAAAAUAAAUGCAUCCCAGAUGACUUCUA